GCCGGAGUGGUGAAAUUGGCAGACACGCAUGGUUCAGGACCAUGUGCCCGCGAGGGCGUGGGGGUUCAAGUCCCUUCUCCGGCACCA
rnacentral:tRNA from 1 species